GUAGCAAUGAAGAAUGAGCUUAUUUUAAAGCAAUGAUGUGGGAGGCAGCUAAUAAAAUUACAUUGACAUUAUGUUCACUUGUCUUUCCACAGAACCACAGCAAUCAAAUCAAAUUAAAUUUACAAGAAUGCACUGAAGUACUCACCACUCAAAGGUGAUCAACAGAUCUUCCGUAAGCGUCUAACUGUGAUAAUUAGGAGGCCAAAGUGAACGACAGAGUCUUUGUCCUGAUCCAUUUGACAAGUAUAAAGCCAAGCUCCUCAUUCCCAGAGGCCACUGCUGGUUGGACCCAGAGCAGCAGAGGGUGAGCCAAGUCAAACCAGGAACGUGCAGAGCAGUGCCAGGAGCUGGGAGAAAGCGUAGGUUCUUUUCAGAAACUGCGUCACAGGGACAGCAAAGAAACAAUAUGGGAGGUCGCUGGGAGAUAAAGAUGCCAAAAGUCAAGAACAAAGUAUCACAACCAGGAGAAAGAAGCAAGCGACUGAGAGGCAAAGCGCUAGGACUAUCACCAUCGUCAUCAUCUGGAUCAUCAUCACAGUCCCCUUCCUGAAGCCCUUAGCUCUAGCAGUACUUUGGAAUUCAGAAUUUUUGGAUUUUGGAUACAUUAAUUAAAUUAGUUUGAAUGUAUUAACGUUUCUGCGGCAAAUCACACUAAGUGGGAUUAAACAGAGCUGGUAAAUAGCCUCAAGUCAGUUCAAGUCAGGCUUUGCCACCAAAUGAGUUUUGACACCAACUUACAAACAAACAAAAUAACUUCUGCUUUUUAGAAUUUAGGGGGUUUCAGAAAUACAAAUGAAACUGUGGACCAAGAGGAUAUCUGUGGAUUAAGAGAACACUCACCAAGUGUGAAGUUAGGAAGUGUGAGAGGACCUCCACAUGCCUGCUGGAUUGCAUCUUGGAUGACGGGCAUCACCUCUACUGCCAAAUGAGGAAACCGAGGCCCUAGGAGGUUGACGACUUUCUCACAGUCAUCUCAUAACUCGCUUACAACUUGAAAUCUCAGCUCCAGGCAAGGACAGGAUUGAGAUACAGGGAUCCCACUUGUUUUCUCUAUACAAAGAGUCUCAUAAAGCCAUUCAUGUGCAGUGAGCCCAGAUUUCUAAGGAAAUUUUGAUUUGAUGUAGGUCUAAUUUAACAAUAUUGGAGAGUCUGUGUUCAUCUCAUAUUGCCGCUUACCAGCAUUGCCGUGCUCUCAAACGUGUCUUGCUAUUUAGGAAUUCUCCAAAAGAUGACCACGGGUUGUAUUUUGGGAUUCUCCCUUGAUGACCUUGGGUAGUAUUUUGGAAUUCUCCCUUGAUGACCUUGGUUGUAUUUGGAAUUCGUCCUUGACGACCUUGGGUUGUAUUUUGGAAUUCUCCCUUGAUGACCUUGGUUAUAUUGUGGAAUUCUUCCUUGAUGACUUCGGGUUGUAUUGGAGCAAACAGGGCCUCUUGUUCUGAUGCUGAUCAUUCAUACCAGUGACUCCAUUUUCUUCUAAUGACCAAUUUUAGGAGAUAUAGCUAAGGUUAUUUAAAAAGUCACUUGAUUCUACAAUAUCACCAGCAAUUACUUGGUAUCAUGAGGUCUGCAAAAUAAAAUUUUUAAUUUUAAAAAUGACA
rnacentral:lncRNA from 1 species